rnacentral:rRNA from 1 species
UACAGAGGUCUCGAGCGUUAGGCGGAAUCACUGGGCUUAAAGCGUGUGUAGGCGGAUCGUUAAGUGCCUUGUGAAAUCCCACGGCUUAACCGUGGAACUGCUUGGCAUACUGGCGAUCUUGAGCAACCUAGGGGCGAGCGGAACAAAUGGUGGAGCGGUGAAAUGCGUAGAUAUCAUUUGGAACGCCAAUGGUGAAAACAGCUCGCUGGGGGUUUGCUGACGCUGAGGAGCGAAAGCGUGGGGAGCGAACAGG